AGCGAACGCUGGCGGCGUGCUUAACACAUGCAAGUCGAGUGCGCGUCUGUAGCAAUACAGAUGGCGCACGGCGCACGGGUGCGUAACACGUGGGCAAUCUGCCCUCGGAUGGGGGAUAACUCGUCGAAAGGCGAGCUAAUACCGCAUGACAUUCCGGAGACCUUGGUCUCUGGAUUCAAAGGCCGCAAGGCCGUCUGAGGAGGAGCCCGCGCCCGAUUAGCUAGUUGGUGAGGUAACGGCUCACCAAGGCUUUGAUCGGUAGCCGGUCUG
rnacentral:rRNA from 1 species